UACGGAGGAUCCAAGCGUUAUCCGGAAUCAUUGGGUUUAAAGGGUGCGUAGGCGGUUCGGUAAGUUUCGUGUGAAAUCUUCGGGCUCAACUCGAAGUCUGCACGAGAUACUGCCGGGCUUGAGUGUGGGAGAGGUGAGUGGAAUUUCCGGUGUAGCAGUGAAAUGCGUAGAGAUGUGGAGGAAUACCGAUGGCGAAGGCAGCCCCCUGGGCCAAUACUGACGCUCAUGCACGAAAGCGUGGGGAGCAAACAGG
rnacentral:rRNA from 1 species